UAGGGAAUCUUCGGCAAUGGACGGAAGUCUGACCGAGCAACGCCGCGUGAGUGAAGAAGGUUUUCGGAUCGUAAAGCUCUGUUGUCAGAGAAGAACGUUGGUAGGAGUGGAAAAUCUAUCAAGUGACGGUAACUAUCCAGAAAGGGACGGCUAACUACGUGCCAGCAGCCGCGGUAACACGUAGGUCCCGAGCGUUGUCCGGAUUUAUUGGGCGUAAAGCGAGCGCAGGCGGUUCUUUAAGUCUGAAGUUAAAGGCAGUGGCUUAACCAUUGUAAGCUUUGGAAACUGGGGGACUUGGAUGCAGAAGGGGGGAGUGGAAUUCCAUGUGUAGCGGUGAAAUGCGUAAAUAUAUGGAGGAACGCCGGUGGCGAAAGCCGCUCUCUGGUAUGUAACGGACGAUGAGGCUCGAAAGCGUGGGGAGCAAACAGG
rnacentral:rRNA from 1 species